ACUUUUCUCAGAAAGUAUCAAUGCUAUUGCAUUCAAACUUGGUACACUUACUUACUAUCAUGAGGGGAAUUGGCAGGCAAAGUUAAAUAACUCUGGCGUGCAUUUUGACAGAAUUAUGUGCCCUUUUUAUACUUAGAAAAUUGAAAAUUUUGGUUAAGUUUUGUGUUUAGGUCCACUUUUCUCAGAAAGUAUCAAUGCUAUUGCAUUCAAACUUGGUACACUUACUUACUAUCAUGAGGGGACUGGGCAGGCAAAGUUAGAUAACUCUGGCAUGCAUUUUGACAGAAUUAUGUGCCCUUUUUAUACGCCCGUAUAAAAUACGGGACGUAUUAUGUGAAACCCCUUGGCGGGCGGCGGGCGGCGGGCGGAAGGCAUCACUUUGUCCGGACUCUAAUUCAAAUUGUAUUCAUCCGAUCUUCACCAAACUUGGUCAGCAGUUGCAUCUAGUUGAUAUCUAGGCCAAGUUCGAAUAUGGGUCAUGCCGGGUCAAAAACUAGGUCAUAGGGUCAAUUAGUGCAUUUUCAACGGCGCCACUUUGUCCGGACUCUAAUUCAAAUAGUUUUCAUCCGAUCUUCACCAAACUUGCUCAGAAGUUGAGUCUAGACAAUAUCUAGGCCAAGUUGGAAUAUGGGUCAUGCC